UACUCUUCCCCCUCUCCGUUCUCCCCAUCUUGCUUCUCUCUCUCUCUCUCAAAUCCCCAAAUUCUGAAAUCCCUAAAUCUGCAAAUCUACCCUUUCCAUCUUUUUUUUUCUCGGCUGGACGGUCAACGGAGAAGGACCACCGCCGCCAACCACCUCCUACUCACCCUCUCAGACCCUCCCUUAUCUCUCUAUCGGCCGACAGACAGCAGGAGUUUCAGACCACCACCGCCGCCGUUCGCAACUGCCAUCUUAUCUCUCGAUCGACGAACGGACGGCGCCAAUAGGCAACCGCCGCCGCGAUUUAUCACCACCAUCUCCGAUUCUCCCUAAACCGCCUCUUCAUCCCCUCUGAAUUUCGGCCAGCAGCUAGAGAUACCGCCGCCGCCGCCGACUCUAUCCCGCCUCCACUCCUUCUCUCCUUCUACCAGCGAUGACAGCCACGCCGGAGACAACAGCAGUAACCGCGCCUCCGCGGUGACCACUGCAGCACCGCUGCCUUCGCUCCCCCCCUGCCCUAACUCGCCUCGACUCGAUUCCCACAUCAACAACACAUAGCGAAAGGUUAAAGAAAAUACGUGUAAGGCUCAAUUAAUCCAUAGGCAUUCUGUAAACUUGUUUUCUUUUUCAUAUGCAGUUUCUGUAACAACCAUAUGUACAUCAAAUAUAUAAGAUACGAUCUUUAUUCAUGUAUGCUAAUCAUCUUUUAGAUGUAUAUGAAUGUCUUGUUUGAUUGUAAAUAAAGAAUGGUUAUUAUUAUGCUUUGGCGUAUGAAAUUGGAGUGUAUGUUUGAGAAUGGAAGUGAACUGGAGGCAAACCUUUAUGAGAAUUCUGUUAUGAAGUAAAUUUUGAGGGCUGUGAUUUUGAGCUACGAACUGUCGCCUGCUACUCUUGGUGAGAAGCUGGGAUUUUGAGUUGUGUGUUGGGUGAAGAGUUAAGCUGCUUCGUGUGUGAUCGAAAGGGCGAGAAUGGCUAAAAUUUAUAGGGGAAACUAGCAGGAAGAAGAAGACGUGGAAGUACCCCUAUCAUGCAUUAAAACUAACUACUGAUGAUCAUGUAAUGUGUCAAUUCUACUGCCCCAAGUAAAAGAUUAAAAACUCAUGCAAAAACUCAAGAUAUAUAUAUAUAUAUAUAUAUAUAUAUUCGGUCCACUUAAAGAUAUAGUGGGCUUCUUAAAUAAGUGAUCCUUUGCAAAUUGUUUACAAAGCCCAACAUCAAAAUAAUUUAUUGAGAUAGAAAAUAUAAGCACAUUGCCUUCAAAUAAUUUGAUAAAAUCUAUUAUUAAAAGGAAUACUUUUUCGAAAAAAAAUAAUAAUUUAUCCGGGCGAGAAUCUACUUAUUCUAAGUUCAAGUAUUCUCAUGAAAUCUUAUUAGGCAAAAAUCGGGGUAUUACAACCCUCCCCCCUUAAAAAAUUUCGUCCUCGAAAUUUAAAUACCUCGGCUAGCAAACUCGACUCCUAGUCUGCACACACUUUUCUCGUUCAUAGAGAUUCUAUCAAGGCAGAAUAAAUCUGGAUACCCCGUAAGGUUUUGAUCUUUCGAUCAAAUAUGUCCAUCAAUCUCUUUUCAUUUUCUUAAAUUCCAAAUAGGACUAACUUGUCAUGCUUGCUUAUCAUUUCUAUAUAUCAUCUUGAAAGCUUCCACCACCAUAGGCUUCAAACUUAACAUUUCACAUGCAUGUAGAGAUAAAAGUAUGAAGCUCUUGAUGUUAAAACAUAUACGUCAAUUUAUGACGAUUGUACCUUCUAAAUCUUUAGGUGCUUGAGCUACUUGUUGCUGGUUAAGAGCAUAAGCCCUAGCACGUGCAGGUUGUCUCUGAUUUGGCCGCUCGUUACCAAUUAGUACUUGAUUCGGCCUUUGAGGGGCAAGGUUCUGAGGUUGUGGAAUUCUCAUGUUCCCGUUAUUAUUUGGGCAGUCUCUGGCGAAAUGCCCUGGUUGCUUGCACCUAAAGCAGUCAUUGGAGCCUAUCUUACAUUCACCAUAGUGAUUUUUCUGACAUGUUGGGCAUAAAGGCUUUCCUUCAGUAUGUCCUUGUUGCUGCUGAGUUCCUCUCCAUGGUUGCUUCAUUUUUCCUGGGUUCCCUUCAUUUUCGCCUUCCCAUUUACGUUUCAUUUUUCCAUAGUUUUGGGUCGGUGCUUGUGCUGACACAUUUUCUUUUUCCUUUGGUAGUAUUGCUUCGAUGUUUAGGGACCUGCUCAAAGAUUGAGCAUAUGUUAAUGCUCCUUGACUUGCUAGUGGAACGGCUAUCUCAAGCCGCAAACCUUGUCGAAACUUUUCUGCACAUUUCUCGUCUGUGUCAACUAGAUGUGGAGCAUAUCGCGAAAGCUGGUUAAACAUUCGGUCGUACUCAGUGACUGUCAUAUUUCCUUGUCGUAAAUUCCAAAACUCAUCUAGUUUCUUCUUCCUAUAGCAUCCAGGGAUAUAUUUUUCAUACAAUCUUUCUUUAAAAUCGUUCCACGUGUAUGCCUCCCAUUGCUCGGGGGUCAAGGUUCGUCGCACCGAUUCCCACCAGAAUUCGGCCUCAUCAACGAGUUGGAAAAUUGCACAUGUGAGUUUCUCCCUAUCCCCACAGCCAACAUGGUUGAGUAUCCUUUCAGUAGCUCUUACCCAUCUCUCGGGAUCCAGAGGAUCACCAAGGCCAUCAAAAGUUGGUGGAUUAUGCUUGCGAAACUUUUCUUCCACACUACGUUCUGGUAUAACUCGUGGCACAUGUUCUUCAGGGUUAGGUCCCCUUCCUCUUUCUCCAGCAUUCUGCAUGUAAUCAACAAUGUUGGGCUUCUUCUUUUUUUCUCACAAAAAUUGGUGAUACUGGUGACAUAAAGAUCUUUCUAUUGUCUGAAACGAAUGUUGGUUGUCUACAAGUCAUCCCUUCAUGUAUCGUGCUUUGAUAUUCUAACUUUCGUAUUUCGAUAUUCUAUGCCUUACUCUUCCAUGUUCUAUGUUUAUGCCAUUCUAUACUUUCUACGUUCUGUCAUUCUAUGUUCAGUGCUUUCAUUGUUCAGUCUUUACUACGUUCAAGUCAUUCUAUCUCCAGUGCUUUCUUCGUAUAGUCCUUUCUAUUCUUAGUCUGUCCAUGUGAUUGUAAAAUUCUCUAAUCUUAAAAAUUAAAAAUCUAAAGACAUCAUUCAUUAGUUCACCAAGCGACUAUAGUAUGUCAUCAUGUCAUUUCUAGGUUCAUAACCUAACUAAAACAUGUAAUAACACGUAGUGGUUGAAUCAUCUCAUGGUAAUAAAUUGCAUAUCACGCAUUUAUGCAACAUCUCCUCAUUUCAAAACAAGUUGGGCACAUACUUUUGUAUGAUAACAUAUUUGAAUCUCAAAUUCAUGAUCAUAUGCAUGUCUUGUCUCAACAAAUGUUAAGGUUCCAUACAUGUUGCGUUUCAGUGUACGGACGUCUCCAUACAUGAUCCGCUUCAGUGUAUGUUCAGUCAUAAUUCAGAUCAAUGCAUUCAAUCUCAAACCACAUCCAUUCUUAUUGCGUGUUCAGUCUCAAUUCAUAUAUUCUGUCUCAAUGCGUCUAUAGUUUCAAUACAUGCUCUGUUUCAAUGCUUGUUCAGUCUCAAUACAUGUUCCAUCUCAAUGCAUGUUUUGUCUCAGUGCAUGUUCAGUCUCAAUGCAUGUCCCGUCUCUAUGCAUAUUCAAUCUCAAUGCAUGUUCAUCUCAAUGCAUGUUCAAUCAUAAUGCAUGUUCCAUCUCAAUGCAUAUUCAAUAUUAACAUGUUCUAUAACAUAUUCAUUUGGUGCAUGCAUUUCAGUAAACAUUUUGAAAACAUGAUUAACAUACCUUGGUUGAGGGCUGUGUGACGACGAGCUGAGGGUUGCUGUAUAAACAUUAGAAGUCUAGAGAUGAUAUCCUAGACUCGACAUCAAUGAACUUGCGGUCUCAGAGCCAAGAACUUUCGCUCUGAUACCAUCUGUGACAGCCCUCAUUCCCGGGAGAAUAGGAAACGUGCUACUUAAUGGGAUUUCUAGACUUUGCUAGGAUAAAAUAGGUGAUAUGUCUUUAGAUUUGGGUAACACAUUCAUAAUAAAGGAAUGUCGCAAUUGAAGGAUAAUAAAUACGACAACUUAGAUAGAAAUUCUCCCAACCAGGAUCAAAAGUCCGGAGGUCUGAGACAACAAGAUAACACUUCAAACUAGACAUACAUAUAUGCGAGGUUCAGUUGCUAGAAAUGCGAUUGCCAAAAGAGUUCAUAAUAAUUAGGCUAGGAAUAUUUAAAGAGUCAAUCUCAAAAGAUAUCCACCUAAGUGAAUAUUAUGGCAGCGGAAUUUAUUCUUGACAUUCAUUUGGAAAUACAGCAACACCCUCCCUCAGCUUCACACGAUACCAUCUGCCGCUCAACCUGCAAAAGGUUUUGAAAACAAUUGCAGGGCUGAGUACUAGUAUACUCAGUGGGUUUAGCCAUUUGAAAACAUUUGAAAAAAAAUCCAUUUAAAAGAAUAAUCCAUGCUAUGAACAGUAUAACAUAGAAAUAUUUGAAAGCAUUCCAUGCAUACAUAAAAUAAAUUGUGGAUCCAUUUUCAGUCUUCUCUCAAUUGGUGCUUCACCUAUAAUGUGAACAUGUGGGAGCAGCCCACAGAGGUCCACUACCAUGCAUGUUUCAGAAAUGGGAGCAGCCCAAGUCUGACAGUCUGAGGCAAGUGGGAGCAGCCCACAAUACCCCCUUGUGUGUACACAAUCCUAACCAGGGCGAUCCAAUCGCUACGCCGGCUAGGACCCGAUCGUUAGAGAACAUAGGAGCACUUUAAACAAUAGAGAGAUAAAAUCAUUUUAACAUGGACAUUCAUUUGCAUUUGCAUAAAAACAAUUUAGAGCUCAAUAACUCAAAACAUACAUUGGAAAAUAAAAACCCAGCUUGAUAACAAGCCUGUAGAUAAAACUUGCGCAAUUCUCUUCUUGUAAAAUCAGUGCUAAAGCCUUCUAUCAAGUGGACCUACAAGAUAAUCUAAUCUUAAUAGGCCUUAAAAUAUCGCAUGAGCUAACGAUUCUACAAAGCUGCUAAAUCUUAAUAUUCUGCGCCCGGAUUUUCAAAACUCAAUUGAAAAUCUUGAAAAUCGAAAUUAUCAAAAUACUUUUAUUGCAUUAUUCAGUAUGCAAAUUCAUAUCAUAUCUCAAAAUCACAUAAAGUAAAUAACUACACUUAAAAAAAAUGCAGCUGAACUCUUUAAUAAAAUAAGGCCCAUCUUAAAAAAAAGUAAUAGGCCCAAAAUAAAUAAGUAAACCCCCCCCCCCCUUACUUUCUCCCUCACGUCUCCCCCUCUCUCUCUCACCAAUACCAGAACACAUUCCCUUCUCCUCCUCUCUUCGCCAUCUCUCUCUCUCACGCAGCCGCCCCGCCACUUCUCCGUCGCCGGCGACAACAGCGAUGUCGCCGUCGCGCAUUACUCUUCCCCCUCUCCGUUCUCCCCAUCUUGCUUCUCUCUCUCUCUCUCAAAUCCCCAAAUUCUGAAAUCCCUAAAUCUGCAAAUCUACCCUUUCCAUCUUUUUUUUUCUCGGCUGGACGGUCAACGGAGAAGGACCACCGCCGCCAACCACCUCCUACUCACCCUCUCAGACCCUCCCUUAUCUCUCUAUCGGCCGACAGACAGCAGGAGUUUCAGACCACCACCGCCGCCGUUCGCAACUGCCAUCUUAUCUCUCGAUCGACGAACGGACGGCGCCAAUAGGCAACCGCCGCCGCGAUUUAUCACCACCAUCUCCGAUUCUCCCUAAACCGCCUCUUCAUCCCCUCUGAAUUUCGGCCAGCAGCUAGAGAUACCGCCGCCGCCGCCGACUCUAUCCCCGCCUCCACUCCUUCUCUCCUUCUACCAGCGAUGACAGCCACGCCGGAGACAACAGCAGUAACCGCGCCUCCGCGGUCGACCACUGCAGCACCGCUGCCUUCGCUCCCCCCCUGCCCUAACUCGCCUCGACUCGAUUCCCACAUCAACAACACAUAGCGAAAGGUUAAAGAAAAUACGUGUAAGGCUCAAUUAAUCCAUAGGCAUUCUGUAAACUUGUUUUCUUUUUCAUAUGCAGUUUCUGUAACAACCAUAUGUACAUCAAAUAUAUAAGAUACGAUCUUUAUUCAUGUAUGCUAAUCAUCUUUUAGAUGUAUAUGAAUGUCUUGUUUGAUUGUAAAUAAAGAAUGGUUAUUAUUAUGCUUUGGCGUAUGAAAUUGGAGUGUAUGUUUGAGAAUGGAAGUGAACUGGAGGCAAACCUUUAUGAGA
rnacentral:lncRNA from 1 species